AGCCUACACCAAGGGAAGAGUCAGGGGAGAAGGAACACAAGACUCCGGAAGCAUGCCAGCGUAUAAAACCACACUUUGCCUCAUUGGUUCGUGCCUCAGCUUCCAAUCUGGACAUGGAGCACAAUAACAGUGGGCCCACUGCUCUCCGAAUUCCUGCGCGCACUUGAAGAAUCAGAAAUAACACAAACCACUGCAGGGUAAUUUUGAAUGCUCAUUUGACUAUGCAGUGACAUCAAGUGGCGAGUUGAGGAAUGAUCAUAUGCUGUGUGAGAACUCCGUGUUAAAAAUUCCAUGGAGCCAGGCUAGACACCACAUUUGGCACUUUCAGCUGUUUAGAUUUCAGAGAAUUAAAAGGAAAUGGUCACCGACCUGCCUUUGAUAGUACCCGUAUACCCCUUCCCACCAUAAGAAACCAGCGUUCCUUAGAGAAAUGGCUAAUUCUAGCUCUAGGGCAAGAAAUGCUAAGAUGUGCUCAAAACAUCUCAUUAUACCAGCAAGCCAGGGAGCCAUCAACGACUACUGGAGCUGUGUCAAAAGGACCAACAAACCAACUUGAAGAGGCUCCCGCUGGCCAACAGUGGGGCAAUUAGAGCAUCAAUAAGAAUAAUAUCUGUAACAAACUGAAACGUAUCAAAUAUGUUUAAAUUCAUAUGUUUAUAAUUACACUCAAAAAA
ensembl:lncRNA GPRC5D-AS1 GPRC5D and HEBP1 antisense RNA 1